GUAGGGAAUCUUCCGCAAUGGACGAAAGUCUGACGGAGCAACGCCGCGUGAGUGAAGAAGGUUUUCGGAUCGUAAAACUCUGUUGUUAGAGAAGAACAAGGAUGAGAGUAACUGCUCGUCCCUUGACGGUAUCUAACCAGAAAGCCAUGGCUAACUACGUGCCAGCAGCCGCGGUAAUACGUAGAUGGCAAGCGUUGUCCGGAUUUAUUGGGCGUAAAGCGAGUGCAGGCGGUUCUUUAAGUCUGAUGUGAAAGCCCCUGGCUUAACCAGGGAGGGUCAUUGGAAACUGGAGGACUUGAGUGCAGAAGAGGAAAGUGGAAUUCCAUGUGUAGCGGUGAAAUGCGUAGAUAUAUGGAGGAACACCAGUGGCGAAGGCGACUUUCUGGUCUGUAACUGACGCUGAGACUCGAAAGCAUGGGGAGCAAACAGGAUUAGAAACCCUAGUAGUCC
rnacentral:rRNA from 1 species